rnacentral:rRNA from 1 species
UACAGAGGUCUCAAGCGUUGUUCGGAUUCAUUGGGCGUAAAGGGUGCGUAGGUGGCGUGGUAAGUCGGGCGUGAAAUUUCGGAGCUUAACUCCGAAACUGCAUUCGAUACUGCCGUGCUUGAGGACUGGAGAGGAGACUGGAAUUUACGGUGUAGCAGUGAAAUGCGUAGAGAUCGAUAAGGAAGACCAGUGGCGAAGGCGGGUCUCUGGACAGUUCCUGACACUGAGGCACGAAGGCCAGGGGGAGCAAACG